GUACGCUGGCGGCGUGUCUUAGCCAUGCAAGUCGAGCGGACUUAUGGGGUAACUUAUAAGUCAGCGGCGGACGGCGGAGUAACACGUAGCUAACCUACCCUCUGGACGGGGAUAACCUACCGAAAGUGGGCUAAUACCCGAUGUAGUCAUCCUGUAUAGGGGUGAUGAAAGGUGGGCUUCUGUUUACAAGCUCAUGCUGGAGGAGGGGGCUGCGGCCUAUCAGGUAGUUGGUAGGGUAAUAGCCUACCAAGCCGAUGACGGGUAGCCGGCCUGAGAGGGUGACCGGCCCGAGGGGCACUGAGAUACGGGUCCCACUCCUACGGGAGGCAGCAGGCUAGAAAUUUGGGCAAUGGGGGAAACCCUGACCCAGUGACGCCGCGUGCAGGAAGGAGCCCUUCGGGGUGUAAACUGCUGUCGUGUAGGGAGAAGGGUACUAAGGUGAACAAUCUUAGUACUUGACGGUACUACAGGAGGAAGCCCAGGCUAACCUCGUG
rnacentral:rRNA from 1 species